rnacentral:rRNA from 1 species
AGUGAACGCUGGCGGCAGGCCUAACACAUGCAAGUCGAACGGCAGCACAGUAAGAGCUUGCUCUUACGGGUGGCGAGUGGCGGACGGGUGAGGAAUACAUCGGAAUCUACUUUUUCGUGGGGGAUAACGUAGGGAAACUUACGCUAAUACCGCAUACGACCUACGGGUGAAAGCAUGGGAUCUUCGGACCUUGCGCGAUUGAAUGAGCCGAUGUCGGAUUAGUUGGUUGGCGGGGUAAAGGCCCAGCAAGGCGACGAUCCGUAGCUGGUCUGAGAGGAUGAUCAGCCACACUGGAACGGAGACACGGUCAAGACUCCUACGGGAGGCAGCAGUGGGGAAUAUUGGACAAUGGGCGCAAGCCUGAUCCAGCCAUACCGCGUGGGUGAAGAAGGCCUUCGGGUUGUAAAGCCCUUUUGUUGGGAAAGAAAAGCAGCAGGUUAAUACCCCGCUGUUCUGACGGUACCCAAAGAAUAAGCACCGGCUAACUUCGUG